CGAGUYCCUUCUUUUUCUUUUAAUCUUUCCAUUAAUGUUCUGGUGUAAGAUUAACGUUUGAGUUUGUAGUGUUUUCUAGGUAGGGGUUGUUAAAGUUGGCUCAUUUACGUUAAUUGCCAUUAGUUUGUCUAAUGUGGCUUAGGCUUACAUUUUGGAGAAAGUCUAUUUCUUGUUACUAGUUCUAGCAUAAUAUUUUUCAUAUUUUUAUGAAAUUACUCAAUACUGUGGAAGGGUUUUAAAUAGUGUAAGGAAUUAGAAAAAGAAAGUACUAAGCUUUAACGCUUUUAUUUAAGAUGGCUGCUUUUAGGCCCACUAGUUAUUUUUAUUUUUAUAUUACCCUAUGAUGUAGGUUGUGUCCUGUUUCAAAUAAGCUGUGCCUUAUUUGAAUAACUCUUAAGUUUUAUAUAAUUUUAGUUAAUAAAAAGUAAACUUAAGGUUGAACUUAAAUUCUUUUCUUGAGUAACCAGCUAUCUCUAAGUGCGGUAGGUUUGUCGCCUCUACUUGGAAAUCGUCCCACUCUAUUGCAACAGAGAUGGGUUGGCUCUUAUAGCUGUUUCGAAGUAGCUCACUUAGUUUCGGGGGGUUAAACUUUAAGUUCGUUUUGCUUAAUUAGACUGGCUAGACCAUGAUGCCA
rnacentral:rRNA from 1 species